AGAUUGAACGCUGGCGGCAUGCCUUACACAUGCAAGUCGAACGGCAGCACGGGAGCAAUCCUGGUGGCGAGUGGCGAACGGGUGAGUAAUACAUCGGAACGUGCCCAGUAAUGGGGGAUAGCCCGGCGAAAGCCGGAUUAAUACCGCAUCCGACCUACGGGUGAAAGCGGGGGAUUCGCAAGAACCUCGCGUUAUUGGAGCGGCCGAUGUCAGAUUAGGUAGUUGGUGGGGUAAAGGCCUACCAAGCCUGCGAUCUGUAGUUGGUCUGAGAGGACGACCAGCCACACUGGGACUGAGACACGGCCCAGACUCCUACGGGAGCAGCAGUGGGGAAUUUGGACAAGUGGGCGACAAGCC
rnacentral:rRNA from 1 species